CUUCAACAGUGAAGUGGUGCUAGGUAACCUAGUGCUUACACAGUGCAACUAAGACCAUGCCCAAACCAUGACCACAAAAGGCUCCCUGGAUUAUCCCGGGCUUGAGAAAGGACGUAGCAGUGUACUAAACAGCUGUCACACUGAUUGCAGCUCCCCUGCCCGCAUGCUGUACAUCCCCGCUGCUAUCAUUUGUACCCACCAAAGAAAAUUAAGUUACAGUUGUACUACAAUGGGACUCUGAAAUACCUCAUGGAUUUAUGGGAUGGACUUACCAGAAUGUGACCUUGAGCUGUAUAAAUAUUUGGAAAGGAUGAAUAUGAACCUUUGAGUAUACAGAACUUUGCCAAAUGAAACUGAAAACAACUCAGACAGAGCCCUUAUUGUCCUUGUCACUUUACAAUAGAUUCUGCUGCACUAAUAAACUCUUCUUUCCUGAUGCCUACCUAAUACACAAUUAUAUAACAGCUUACAUCUGAAACCUAACCAGGGGUAGAGACAUAGGCGUUGUGUUGUAGAAACUGUGAUAUUAAAGAAUCAGGUGGA